GACGAACGCUGGCGGCGUGCUUAACACAUGCAAGUCGAACGAAGUGGCGAACGGGUGAGUAACGCGUAAUCAACCUCCCCUUCAGCGGGGGACACCAGUUGGAAACGACUGCUAAUCCCCCAUACUGAAGGAGGGGUUUGCGUCUGAUUGGCUCGUUGGAGGGGUAACGGCCAAACAAGGCGAUGAUCAGUAGCCGGGCUGGGAGGAUGAACGGCCAAAUUGGGACUGAGAAACGGCCCAGACUUCUACGGGAGGCAGCAGGGGGGAAUCUUCCGAAAUGGACGAAAGUCUGACGGAGCAACGCCGCGUGAGUGAUGACGGCCUUCGGGUUGUAAAGCUCUGUUAAUCGGGACGCGGUACCGGAAUAGAAAGCCACGGCUAACUACGUGCCAGCAGCCGCGGUAAUUC
rnacentral:rRNA from 1 species